AACAUCCCAGCAGCUGGUGUGUGGUGCAGGGCGCUGUCGGCCGGCCACAGCCGCGCAGCUCGGUGGCACGGCCAGGUCGAGCGUGGGGGCUGGGGAGCCUGGCACUCGCCUGGCCGCCGCAGUGGGGAGAAGCAGAAACAGCAGGUUUCCAUCACAAAAAGCUGGAUGAUCCAUCUCACUUGAACAACUAGAUCUGCACACUCCUUGUCCAUU
rnacentral:lncRNA from 1 species